ensembl:lncRNA
UAAGGAAAGGGCAGGGGAUCAGGGAGAAAGCAGGAGGAGUCGAGUAGCACAUAGCAGAACUGAGCUUGGCCCAGUAGCAGAAAUGUGAACCUGAAGUCAUAUAAUUCUCCUAAGCACUCUGUCAGUGUUGUUUACGCUUGUGGGAGUUCAAGUACGUGAGUAGUAUCAAUUCUGUACAAAGGACUAGAAUACAUUUGCUAUAACAGUUAAAGUAGAAAGGGAAGUGUAGCUUGCCCAACAAGUGCUAAAAGUACUCUGACAGCGAUCAGCCUGGGAGAUGUGGAUGAUUUGGAUGAAAACUGAUCUGGCUAUUGGUUGGGACGUAUCUAUUGGGACACCAAUAAACCAGAAUGCUACAUAACAGUGAAUGCGGCCAAACACACAAGAGAGACAAUGCAAUUUUAAUAUCAGAAUACAACUUUAUUUUGUUUAACAGAUGUCUGCUAUAGUAUUUAUCCUACCACCUGCAAGAUUAGCCACCAACGUAAAAUCUGAGAAGACACAAAAGGAUGGUGCCACUUUACAGUUUCAUGAAAUCAGAAAUGAUACCUGAACUGCAGAGAUAGCAUAUCCUCUGAGGGGUGGAGUCAACUGAAAAAUGACAGAAAUGACAGCAGUCAGUGAAAGAAAUCUGGGACGUCUACACUUCAGGCAUUCAGUAAGAAAGAGGAAACAAACAGCACAGGUGAUUUAAGACUCGGUGUUCACAUAAGAUAUGAAGAAUUGGUGAUUUUGCCUUUGGUGCUAUUAAACCCUUGAAUGUUGUUCCUGGAUUGAGAGUUUGUAGACACCACAUCAAAAUACUGGUUUAUGUUGGGUGAAGGCUCAGUGAGAAGACCUUCCUGUGCCACAGAGAAGGACAGGACAUUGACAGCUUUGAAUUUCUUGGACAUUGUCAGAUCACUUAUGCCAAGCCUGAGGAAAGACUGUCAAGAAGAUAUUUAUUUUUUGCAUGCUUAAGUAAAGGAAGAAACCAAGACACAAACUACUCUACAGCCAGAAGAGCUGCUCUUCAGGCUGAAGACUGGGAAGGUACCAGUGGUGAAACUGAAGCAGAGAUAGUGAUUGGCAACUAA